rnacentral:lncRNA from 1 species
GGAGCCUCCGCGUCCCGCUCGCUGAGAGAGGUAUCUCUCCUUUUCCCUCUCCCUUCCCCUAAGGAGUGGAGUCAACAUAUCAAUGGAGCAAGUCACAGUCGUCGAUGCCAGCUUCUUCUUGAAAUCUACCCAGAAUGGAAUCCUGACAAUGAUACUGGACACACAAUGGGUGAUCCAUUCAUGCUGCAGCAGUCAACAAACCCAGCACCGGGAAUUCUGGGACCGCCACCUCCUUCAUUUCAUCUUGGAGGACCAGCAGUUGGACCAAGAGGAAAUCUGGGUGCUGGUAAUGGGAACCUACAGGGACCAAGACACAUGCAAAAAGGCAGAGUGGAAACCAGCCGAGUUGUUCACAUUAUGGAUUUUCAGCGAGGAAAAAACUUGAGAUACCAGCUAUUACAACUGGUAGAACCAUUUGGAGUCAUUUCAAAUCAUCUGAUUCUAAAUAAAAUUAAUGAGGCAUUUAUUGAAAUGGCGACCACAGAAGAUGCUCAGGCUGCUGUGGAUUAUUAUACAACUACACCAGCAUUAGUGUUUGGCAAGCCAGUGAGAGUUCAUUUAUCCCAGAAGUAUAAGAGAAUAAAGAAACCUGAAGGAAAACCAGAUCAGAAGUUUGAUCAAAAGCAAGAACUUGGACGUGUGAUACAUCUCAGCAAUUUACCUCAUUCUGGCUAUUCUGACAGUGCUGUCCUCAAGCUUGCAGAGCCUUAUGGGAAAAUAAAAAAUUAUAUAUUGAUGAGGAUGAAAAGUCAGGCUUUUAUUGAGAUGGAAACCAGAGAAGAUGCAAUGGCAAUGGUUGACCACUGUCUAAAGAAGGCACUUUGGUUUCAGGGAAGAUGUGUUAAAGUUGACUUGUCUGAGAAAUAUAAA